AUGGCUCAGUGGUGGAGUUCUUGCUUUGUGACCUAGAAGACCAGGGUUUGAUUCCCUGU
rnacentral:tRNA from 1 species